UUUGGCCUCAAUUUUCCAAUUUUUCUGCGUUUCCUCCCCAUUUUUCACCCCCUAGGAAAAACAAAUCCUAACAGAGAAGAAAAGAAACCUGGAGCUUCAGCUUCACCGGGCUCAGUUAACGACCUCCUCCUCCCGGCGGAAUCAGAUUUUGGAGAGGGAAAUUCAGACUCUUGAAGAUCAGCUUCGUCACCUCCAGCUGGUGAUGCAAAGGCAGCAUCACACCUUGCACUGCUUUAUUUCCGAGGCUGAGGAGCUGAGGAGCGAAUUGAGGAGGAAGGAUGGGAGGAUCGUGGAGAUGGAGGAGAGGCUGCUGGGAUUGGAGGCGGAAGUAUUAUGGGAUGGGAGGGAGGUGGGGGGUCAUGGGAUGACAUGGGAUGACAUGGGAUGACAUGGAAUAACAUGGGAUGACAUGGGAUAACAUGGGAAGACGUGGGACGGAUGGGAUGGGAAGUUGGGAUGACAUGGGAUAACAUGGGA